GAAUGGAAAAAGAAGCGACAAAUCAGAAUAAACAACGGUGAAAUUCUGUCAAGGAGCUGGGCAGGUGCAUAAACUAAUUCUUUUUCUGUUUUACAGUUAAUAAUUUGUUUUUUUCUUAUGUAUACUAGAUGAAACAGAGAGUCCAACGUCCCAGUCACAGCCUUUAGUGAUUGAAGAAAAAAA
rnacentral:ribozyme from 1 species